AAGAGUAUUUGGUGGAUGCCUUGGGUCUGAAAGUCGAUGAAGGACGCGAUUACCUGCGAUAAGCUUCGUGGAGUUGGAAAUAAACUAUGUUACGGAGAUUUCCGAAUGGGGUAACCUAACUGAGCAAACCUCAGUUGCAUUUUGAUGAAUCCAUAGUCAAAUUAGCGAGACACGUUGCGAACUGAAACAGCUAAGGUACC
rnacentral:rRNA from 1 species